ensembl:lncRNA
UGAACUCAAUGACUGGUGCUGUGAUCUGCAGUAUUGUAUAGCAAUUUUAUAAUAAAAGACCAAGGACAAACAGAUAACUGGCAAAGAAUUGAUCCAUCCUAAGGCACUUUGUAGAUCUGUUCCACCAAAUCAUUAUGAAGUGCAAAGGAUAAAAAAUGAAUAGCAUACGGGAGUUUCUUUAGUGAAACUAGCCAUCAUAACUGCGGGAGUAGAGUUAUUUGUCUGCAUCGGUUUGUGCAGAACUGAAGAAAGUAAAGUAAAGUUUGGAUAAAGACAGGAGAAAAAAAAUGUCAUCGGUUCUGGACACUAUACUCCGUUCAGUGAGGCUGCACCUUCUAACUUGAACGUUAUUUCUUUAGAGCCUCUUUUCAUAGAACCUGUUCACUCUGUGUUGAGCAGUGGAGGGACACAGAAUAAAGUAAUGAGGAAAUUCCUGCAAAUCAAAGAGAGCACAGCAGUUUCCACAAUUACAGGUUUCUACUGAAGAGCUGAUGGUUAAAAUGGUGAAGCCUCCCAGCAGUCCCCUCUGAAGGCAGGGAGAGGCUAGCACCUCAAGAGCAGUGGUGCUUACAAUCUCAGUAUAUCACCAUUUUCAGUUCACAGAGGUCUAAGUACCAGUGCCACAGGUGCAUCUGGUCAAUGGCCAGAAAAAGUCUUAUGUUUUAUCGAAAAUGAGUAAUUCAAUAUAAAAUUAGAGAUGGCAGAACUUGAAAUAAAG